rnacentral:rRNA from 1 species
CAGCAGCCGCGGUAAUACGAAGGGGGCUAGCGUUGCUCGGAAUGACUUGGCGUAAAGGGCGCGUAGGCGGAUUGUUUAGUUAGGCGUGAAAUUCCUGGGCUUAACCUGGGGACUGCGCUUAAUACAGGCAGUCUAGAGUGAGGAAGAGGGUUGUGGAAUUCCCAGUGUAGAGGUGAAAUUCGUAGAUAUUGGGAAGAACACCGGUGGCGAAGGCGGCAACCUGGUCCUUGACUGACGCUGAGGCGCGAAAGCGUGGGGAGCAAACAGGAUUAGAUACCCGUGUAGUCCCUGUCUCUUAUAC